rnacentral:tRNA from 1 species
GGAUUUAUAGCUCAACGGUAGAGCAAUCGGCUGUUAACCGAUAGGUUGUAGGUUCGAGACCUACUGAAUCCG